GGCGUGGUGGCUGAAUGGUAAAGCACUUGGCUUCCGGACCAAGGGUCUCAGGUUUGAAUCCUGGUGAAGACU
rnacentral:tRNA from 1 species